GAAAAUCCGUUGGCUUUAUAGACCAUGAGGGUUCAAGUCCCUCUACCCCCA
rnacentral:tRNA from 4 species